rnacentral:tRNA from 1 species
UCCCUGGUGGUCCAGUGGCUAGGACUUGGCAUUUUCACUGCCGUGGCCCAGGUUCAAUCCCUGGUCAGGGAA